rnacentral:rRNA from 1 species
UACCCGCAGCCCGAGUGGUGGUCACUUUUAUUGAGCCUAAAGCGUUCGUAGCCGGAUUGGUAAAUCUUUGGGGAAAUCGAGCGGCUCAACCGUUCGAAUUCCGAAGACACUGCCAAUCUUGGGACCGGGAGAGGUCUGAGGUACUUCGGGGGUAGGGGUAAUAUCCUGUAAUCCUCGAAAGACCACCAGUGGCGAAGGCGUCAGACUUGAACGGAUCCGACGGUGAGGGACGAAGCCCAGGGUCGCAAACGGG